UACGUAGGCAGCGAGCGUUGUUCGGAGUUACUGGGCGUAAAGGGUGUGUAGGCGGUCUUUUAAGUUUGGUGUGAAAUCUCCCGGCUUAACCGGGAGGGUGCGCCGAAUACUGAGGGACUAGAGUGCGGGAGAGGAAAGUGGAAUUCCUGGUGUAGCGGUGAAAUGCGUAGAUAUCAGGAGGAACACCGGUGGUGUAGACGGCUUUCUGGACCGUAACUGACGCUGAGACACGAAAGCGUGGGGAGCGAACAGG
rnacentral:rRNA from 1 species